UGGAUCCAGACUUUGAUCAUGGCUCAGGAUGAACGCUAGCUACAGGCUUAACACAUGCAAGUCGAGGGGCAGCAUGAUCGUUGCUUUGCAAUGACCGAUGGCGACCGGCGCACGGGUGAGUAACGCGUAUCCAACCUUCCCCCUACCCGGGUAUAGCCCGCCGAAAGGCGGAUUAAUCCCCGAUACGUCCCCUGACGGCAUCAGGCGGGGACGAAAGGUUUUCCGGUAAGGGAUGGGGAUGCGUCCGAUUAGCUUGUUGGCGGGGUAACGGCCCACCAAGGCGACGAUCGGUAGGGGUUCUGAGAGGAAGGUCCCCCACAUUGGAACUGAGACACGGUCCAAACUCCUACGGGAGGCAGCAGUGAGGAAUAUUGGUCAAUGGGCGGAAGCCUGAACCAGCCAAGUAGCGUGCAGGAUGACGGCCCUACGGGUUGUAAACUGCUUUUUUGCGGGAAUAAAGCGGCCCACGCGUGAGCCUUUGCAUGUACCGCACGAAUAAGGACCGGCUAAUUCCGUGCCAGCAGCCGCGGUAAUACGGAAGGUCCGGGCGUUAUCCGGAUUUAUUGGGUUUAAAGGGAGCGUAGGCCGCCUUUUAAGCGUGCUGUGAAACACCGUUGCCCAACAACGGGGCUGCAGCGCGAACUGGAGGGCUUGAGUUCACGGGAAGCCGGCGGAAUUCGUCGUGUAGCGGUGAAAUGCUUAGAUAUGACGAAGAACUCCGAUUGCGAAGGCAGCCGGCUGUAGUGUUACUGACGCUGAAGCUCGAAAGUGCGGGUAUCGAACAGGAUUAGAUACCCUGGUAGUCCGCACGGUAAACGAUGGACGCCCGCUGUGCGCCCUUUAGGGUGCGCGGCCUAGCGAAAGCGUUAAGCGUCCCACCUGGGGAGUACGCCGGCAACGGUGCAACUCAAAUGAAUUGACGGA
rnacentral:rRNA from 1 species